UUUUGGAAGUAAAAGUCGUAACAAGGUUUCCGUAGGUGAACCUGCGGAAGGAUCAUUACCGAGUGAGGGCCCUCUGGGUCCAACCUCCCACCCGUGUUUAUUUUACCUUGUUGCUUCGGCGGGCCCGCCUUAACUGGCCGCCGGGGGGCUUACGCCCCCGGGCCCGCGCCCGCCGAAGACACCCUCGAACUCUGUCUGAAGAUUGUAGUCUGAGUGAAAAUAUAAAUUAUUUAAAACUUUCAACAACGGAUCUCUUGGUUCCGGCAUCGAUGAAGAACGCAGCGAAAUGCGAUACGUAAUGUGAAUUGCAAAUUCAGUGAAUCAUCGAGUCUUUGAACGCACAUUGCGCCCCCUGGUAUUCCGGGGGGCAUGCCUGUCCGAGCGUCAUUGCUGCCCUCAAGCACGGCUUGUGUGUUGGGCCCCGUCCUCCGAUCCCGGGGGACGGGCCCGAAAGGCAGCGGCGGCACCGCGUCCGGUCCUCGAGCGUAUGGGGCUUUGUCACCCGCUCUGUAGGCCCGGCCGGCGCUUGCCGAUCAACCCAAAUUUUUAUCCAGGUUGACCUCGGAUCAGGUAGGGAUACCCGCUGAACUUAAGCAUAUCAAUAAGCGGAGGAAAAGAAACCAACAGGGAUUGCCCCAGUAACGGCGAGUGAAGCGGCAAGAGCUCAAAUUUGAAAGCUGGCUCCUUCGGGGUCCGCAUUGUAAUUUGUAGAGGAUGCUUCGGGAGCGGUCCCCAUCUAAGUGCCCUGGAACGGGACGUCAUAGAGGGUGAGAAUCCCGUAUGGGAUGGAGUGUCCGCGCCCGUGUGAAGCUCCUUCGACGAGUCGAGUUGUUUGGGAAUGCAGCUCUAAAUGGGUGGUAAAUUUCAUCUAAAGCUAAAUAUUGGCCGGAGACCGAUAGCGCACAAGUAGAGUGAUCUAAAGAUGAAAAACACUUUUGAAGAGAGAGUUAAAAAGCCCGUGAAAU
rnacentral:sRNA from 1 species